rnacentral:misc_RNA from 2 species
AACGCACAUUGCGCCCCCUGGUAUUCCGGCGGGCAUGUCUGUUUGAGCGUCAGUACGCACCUCUGCUUCAGUUUUGCUGAGCAGGUCGUGGGCGCGCCCUUCGUGAGAUGGGCGCCCCUAACGUAGCACGCUUGCGGGCUCCCACACAGAUGUCAACGUAGUAAACUAAACGCUCGAUGCUAUCUUGUGGAGGCUCUGCCUGAACAAACCUUCUUGAGUUUGACCUCAGAUCAGAUAAGGAUACCCGCUGAACUUAA